AGAUUGCGCUUUUAGUUUAUAGCUGUUAGAAUUGUACCUAAGACGUCCGUUUAGCGCAAUAAACUUUAACAACAACAACUUAAAGGAAAAACAAGAUCAACAAUUCUAGAAAUAAAAUUUACUCGGUCUGUUGUGAUGUUCCAAUUCCAUAUUUUUGAAAGUUAUGAUCUUCAUAAAACGCAACGCAAACACUGGUGGAUGAAACAAAAAAGGAUUCAUUAUUAAAAUAAUAACUUAAGAACGUUAUAUACUCCAUAAAAAACAGUUUGAUUUGUUGUAAAACGUGAUUACUACCGGUAGCGAAUGUUUUCUGUUCUCUCAAAGAAUUCAUUGUUCGGAAAUUUACGAAUGUUACGAUGUAUAAUAUUAUAUUAAUUAGAAAAUACUUAGUAUGUUUUGAUAUA